UCUUUGGAGGUGCUCUAAUUUC
rnacentral:snRNA from 1 species